GAUGAAGAACGCAGCGAAAUGCGAUAAGUAAUGUGAAUUGCAGAAUUCAGUGAAUCAUCGAAUCUUUGAACGCACAUUGCGCCCCUUGGUAUUCCGAGGGGUAUGCCUGUUCGAGCGUCAUUAUAACCCCUCAAGCUCAGCUUGGUGUUGGGGCCUGCUGCACUGGCAGCCCUUAAAAUCAGUGGCGGCGCCAUCUGGCUCUAAGCGUAGUAAUUCUUCUCGCUAUGGAGUCCUGGUGGAUGCUUGCCAUCAACCCCCAAUUUUUCUAUGGUUGACCUCGGAUCAGGUAGGGAUACCCGCUGAACUUAAGCAUAUCAAUAAACGGAGGA
rnacentral:misc_RNA from 1 species